UACAGAGGUCUCAAGCGUUGUUCGGAUUCAUUGGGCGUAAAGGGUGCGUAGGCGGCGCGGUAAGUCGGGUGUGAAAUCUCGGGGCUUAACUCCGAAACUGCAUUCGAUACUGCCGUGCUUGAGGACUGGAGAGGAGACUGGAAUUUACGGUGUAGCGGUGAAAUGCGUAGAUAUCGUAAGGAAGACCAGAGGCGAAGGCGGGUCUCUGGACAGUUCCUGACGCUGAGGCACGAAGGCCAGGGGAGCAAACGGG
rnacentral:rRNA from 1 species